CCUAAAGCAUGAUGCCACCACCACCAUGCUUCAACGUGAGUAUGGUGUUCUUUUGGUGAUGUGCGUUUUUUCUUUUGCACCAAACAUACUUUUUGAUAUUAUGGAUUAUUAUAACUUUUGGAAUCGGUCUCGUCUGACCAUAAGACAUUUUGCCACGAGGGGUUUUUUUUUUGUGUGUGAGAGAAAGGGUUUCCUUCUAGCCACCCUAUUCCAAAGUCCAGACAUGUGAAGAAUAUGAGAGAUUGUGGUCACAUGCAGAGAGUAAUCUGUACUUGUCAGAUGACUCUCCUGCAGCUCCUUUAAUGUUGCCGUGGGUCUCUUGGCAGCCUCCCUGUGAGAUUCCCUGCAUGCUUCGUCAGCUCUUCGCAGACCAUGGCUUCAGCCUUCGGAUGAAACCAAGACGAUGUGAAGACAAGCCUACAGAAACAGCUGGUCUUUACUUGGGGUUGAUCAGAAUAAUUUCAUUGAUGACAGAUGUAUGAUAAUUACUUUUGAACGUGAGAUUGAAUGCCACGUCCCCAGUUAUAAAGGGGUGUGCACACUUAUGCAACCUUUUUAUUUUCCCCUUAAAUGUUUGAUUGUUUUACCCGUUGUGAUUUCAUAUUGAGAGCGGCGAAGUCCUGACAUGAUUUAUCUUAGUUUCAAUUUUUUCCAUCACCAAAACAUGCCAUUUUAACAGGGGUGUGCAGACUUUUUAUACCCACUGAAUACUGGAAUGAAUCGACAAGUUUAAACUGAUUAUUAUUAUUAUUAAUAUUAUUAAUAGUAGUAGUAGUAAUAUCAGACCAUUGGGCAGUUAUCUUCUUCCUAAUGCCAUUCUCCAGAUCAGUCCUGUAGGGUGUUGCGACUAGAGCCUUCAGCAAUGGUACACACACCUCCGGCAACCGAGUAAUCACCUCCAAAUCGGCCAUGUUGAAGCCAAUAGAAGAGGGUUCACAUACCACCAUGCUGACCAGCGUGAAGAAGGUGGCACUGAAAAAGUCCUCUUCCAGCAGCUGGAAUGAGAUUUUCAGACAAUGCAUGACAAGUUUUAUGUCCCUGUUUGGACCAAUAAAACGCAUCGUUGUGACAAGCAUCAGACCUUCCAGAGAUCCUUCUGGCAUUUAAGCAGCACCAUGGUGGAGAACUCCAGCAGGCGCACUAUGAUGGUGCACUUGCUGUAGUUGUAGAGCUCUGUCUCACGAGGGCUAAAGUGUGACCAAGUCGAGUCAGUCUCUUUGAAACAGGCCCUGGCAGCCUUCAGGUCAUGCAAUGCCAGUUCUGUCAGGAAGAAACGGAGGGCUGGCAGGAAGCUAGACUUCUCAGCAGAGUCUGAAUUCUGUGGGGCUGCAUGAGGCGGAGACUGGUGAAGGUGUUGUAGCAGUCAAGAACGGCCAGAAGAAGAUCCAUCCACUGCAGGGUGGCCCGGACACUGAAAGGGGCUUCCACUUCUCUCAAAGUAGGUUGGGAUAUCAAGCCUCCUCCUUCCAGAUGUGUAAUUAAAAACCCCUGACCCUCAUUUUUAACCUGCUCGUCCAGCCACUGUGCAGCAGUAGUAUUACCUGAGCAUGAAGGAAAAAGAAAUCAGAGUGGGUCUGAAAUCCCAUACAAUCGCUUAUCUCUUAAUCUACAAUUACAGCUAUAAUCC
ensembl:lncRNA